rnacentral:rRNA from 1 species
GACGAACGCUGGCGGCGUGCCUAACACAUGCAAGUCGUACGGGACUUAGGGGGCAACUCUUGAGUUCAGUGGCAGACGGGUGCGUAACACGUGAGGAACUUGUCCAACGGUGGGGGAUAGCCGGCCCAACGGCCGGGUAAUACCGCGUACGCUCGUUUGGAGGCAUCUCCGAGCGAGGAAAGCAGCCGCAAGGUUGCGCCGGUGGAGAGUCUCGCGGCCUAUCAGCUAGUUGGCGGGGUCACGGCCCACCAAGGCGACGACGGGUAGCUGGUCUGAGAGGAUGAUCAGCCACAUUGGGACUGAGACACGGCCCAGACUCCUACGGGAGGCAGCAGUGGGGAAUAUUGCGCAAUGGCCGCAAGGCUGACGCAGCGACGCCGCGUGUGGGAUGACGGUCUUCGGAUUGUAAACCACUGUCGGGAGGAACGAAUACCGGGCCUCGAAUAGGGGACCUGGGGUGACGGUACCUCCAAAGGAAGCACCGGCUAACUCCGUGC